AGAAUGUCAGAUUUCUAUUUCAAAUAGCCUAAAUGUUCUUAUGGACUUUCUAUUCAUCAAAAAAUCCUGAAAAUACUUUAUUAUGGGUUCCACAAAAAUAUUAAGUUUGUGUUUUUGUCAUGAUCACCAGCUUGAGUGCCCUUGAUAGCCACCAGAGGGCACUCCAUCCCAUACCUUUCCGCUCUUUCCUGGACUGCAUUUCCCAUAACCCAUUGCCCAGACUCAUCAUGCCUGAUUGUUUUCACCUGUUGCUCAUUACCUCUGCUUAUAUAAGCCUGAUGUUUUCUGGCACUCUUUGCAAGUCUUGCAAUUGUUGUGCUGUGUCUCUUAGCCCUGGUUUUUAUGUAUCUUGGUUUUGAUGAACUUCAGCCUGGUUUCCUCUGCCCACCUGUGUUUCUGCUUUGUUGUUGCUUUUGAAUUGUCUUAUAGUGUUAUGACCUUUGCCUGUUAAUCUGACUAUGAUUGUGGAUUACCCUUUAAUAAACAACUGCACUUGGAUCAUCAGCCACCUUAUCCCUGUGCAGUUCAAUGUUGGUGUGAGUGGCAGGUGGUCUCAGCGCUCUCAAGUCCAGCAAUUUCAGAGGUCCUGCCACCCUCUGCUGCCCUUCCAGCAAUGGCGGUCACCAUUUUGUGUGUCUGGGCUAUACUCACUUCUGAGGUGGCAGUGUCCGCUCCAGUCCAUGAAUACACUGAAGACCCCACUCCAGUCCAUGAGUCCCCUGCAGAGCUAACUCAAGCCUUAGAGCACAGUCCUGUGUUGGUGCCAGCCUGUGAGUUCCCUGCCUGUCCUGUCUCAACCAAAGAGGUCGCCCUUGAGUUCCUGGCCUGUCCUGUCACAGCCAGGGUGGUGGUCCCUGAACUCUCUGCCUGUCCUGUCAUGGCCAUCGAGGCUGUCUCUGAGCUAUCUGUUCUGUCUGCUCCGCCUUGGUGGUAUUCAGAUCCACCAUGGUGGGUUCCAGUUCUACUUGAGCCAUCUUAGUGGUUCUCAGCACCAUCAGCUCCACCCUGGUGGUGUUCAGCUCCAUCGUAGGAACCUUCGGUCCUGUCUUCUCUGCUAUGGUGGUCAUCUGCUCCACCGUACAAAAUCAUCUUGGCUACCAAUAUUCAAGACAAUGCCAUCAAACUCAUUAGAAAGCACUUCAUAUUGGAUCAGGACAAUGACCCAAAACACCCUGCCAGUUCAGUCAAGGACUUUAUCAGGGCAAAGAAAUGUAAAGUCUUAGGUUGCCCAAAUCAAUCUCCAGAUUUAAAUCAGAUUUAACAUUAAUUUCCCCAGCUGAAGAGGAGACUGUAAGGAGUGAAAUUAUUUCCUUAUGAAAUGAAUUCUUUGUGAAGCCAGACUUUCAGGAACUCUCGCAAUGCAAAUGCAGAUGCACCAAAACAAUGGGCUUUGAUCUCCUCGUGGAGCCAAACAAACAGAUAGGAAGAUCUGGAAGAAAGAGCAUUUGCUCUUUGGUACCUUCACCCAUCCUUCCCCCCGGGCACAUGGUCCAGGCAACUAAAAGUUGAUACGCUCACAUAAAACAUUUACUAUAUCUUGAGGAUUCAUGAUUGUAAACUUUUCAUAUUUGGUGUCAUUUUAAAGGUCUCUUUGCAAUUGGUAAAAUGGUCUCAAUUUCAUAGUAGUCAUUUAUAUUAUGAGAGAGAUUGAAAACUUUUGUAGAAUUGUGUUCUGCUGUGAAGGGGGUGUGUCCCCCUUUAGGGGUCUUGAGAAUGUUUAAAGCCCGUAGUGUGGAGUGUAUUUCAUAUGCUCCAUACUAUGUAUCUUCCUGAAGUCAGGUAUACUAUUAUGUAAUUGUGUUAAACACAUUGUGCCUACAGAGCACACUGUAUAGUUGUUUGUGCUACUACAUGUACACAUUGGCUAGUUUAUUCUCUAAAACACCUGAGUGAUUUGCUAUGCAUUUUAGACCAUGUGUCUUAAAUUAGGAUAACUGUUACAUGUGUGACUAUGUUAAAUUUGUGUGCCUCCUGCAUGGAUCACUUGGCCGUUCCCAAUAUGGCUACAGUGUCUUUGUGCAGCACAAAGUUGCAACACAACUACAAUGUGAUUUACAAUUACACUAUCCUUUCUAAAUUGGCUUCUAAUUAUUUUCAUUAUGUAAUUGGCAUAAUACAAUUUUACCUGACUGAUAAUAAAUUGUUAUAUUUGAUUCAUUCUGCAUUAUUCUUAAUUCAUUAUUACUAGUAGAUUAAAGCAAAGGUAUUACCUCAAAUCUGUGUUCAGGAUUGUUCAUACGAAAGGUUUAAUAGAUGGAGCAUGGAGCACAUCAAUUGAGUCCAUUUCGAUUUCUGACUUGCAGUCAGUUGCAGUUUUUGUAAAUAUAUAAAAACUAUGCUUUUUGUUACGAGUAAGCAGGGCGCGACCAACUUAAAGGUAGAUAUUUACCCUGCAUCCAAUGUUUAAGAUCAGAACUGAUGAGUUUGUGUCCGGGAAGAGCAUUCAAUCGGCCGAAAUGUUACUUCUAAAGCAAUACCGGGUCUGCAGUGAAUGAAUAAUUGAAAGUAUGGGAUUUUCAGAAUACUCAAAUAUCUAAAUUAAUAAACAAUCGAUAUCUGUGAUCAGCUUUUGAUAGAAAUAUUGCCCAAAUUUAAUGAUCACGUGAAAUUGGAGUCAGAUUGAACACGGAGCUAGACUAAAAUUCAAACAAAAUCCUGAUAGAUUCAGAAGCGCAAAUAAAAGACCGAAUAUGCAUUAAAACUUUGACCAGGCCGCUGGAUUCCGCUUUUUGGGCUGGCGGGUGGAUCCUUACAAGACUAAAGACAGAAACUCCCAAAAACCAGAAACAGUUGGAAUUGGCUGCAUUAAAGGCUGGGAAAUGCAUUUCAAAGAAUAAGACCAAGAGUUUGGUGAUGUCUAUGGGUUGCAGAUUCACUGCUCUGAUUGCAUGCAAGGGAUCUGCAACUAAAUACUAACUUUUAAUCUUUUACAUCUGCCUUAAAUUCAACUGUUCCAAUACUUAUGUUCACAUCAAAUAGUAGGAUGAACUCUAAAAGUCCUUUUGAUUUGGUAAAACAUGUAUGUGUUAAAAGACCUAAUAAUAAAAUGUGACAUUCUGUAGGUUUAUCGCAUAAUCAUCUUUUAAUCAUAUUUGCAAAUGUCUUGACUCCACAGCAGACAAAGCAAUUUUGUCUUUACUGUUCCAAUACUUAUGGAGGGCACUGUAUACAGUCACCGUUUUGAACAUAUUUCCUGAAAGCGGUGUGCAACGGGGUUUGAGAUGUUUUCUCUUGUUUGGUGGGUGUGUCAAAAAUGUCAGCCCAAUCAGCAGCAACAUGUAUAUAAACCAUGUGGUAGAGACAGCUCACACAAUGUAAUUAGCAUCAAAAUAAAUUCACAAGAGCAAGUAUAUUGUUUGCACGUUUAUUUACAUUAAAGGUAAAAUAACUAAAAUAAUAAGAGCACAAUUAUAGAUCUGGAACUUCUUUAAGUCUGUCUAAAUAUCAUUUAGUAAUAUCAAUUUCUUCUGGUCCAUAUCCUUUCCUUAGGAAGCAGGGCCGGUUCUUGACAGCUAUAGAAGGGUGGGCUGGCAGAUAUCCUGGGUGGGCAGUUUUCCUUUUGCAGUUCAGGGGGAAUACAAAUUCCCCUUGUAUUGCAAGGGGGAAAAUCUAGAUAUUUAUACUGUAGAUAUUGCUAUAUUAACUACAUUGACUAUAGGCUGUUAUAUGUACACUGAAAAAAAAAAUUUUUUUUUUCUUUAUUGAAUAAUAAAAAUGUCUUUGUUCUCUUUCUCUGUAUCAUUGUUUCUAUACUGGUGUUUUUUUUAACUAACUUUUGUAUUUUAAGGCUACUGAACAAGGCCAUAAUCAUAUCUAGAAUGUUACAUUAAUGUUUUGAGGAAAAUAUUAAAACCAUACCACUAUGGUAA
ensembl:lncRNA